rnacentral:lncRNA from 10 species
UCUGUCUGUCUGGGUCACCUCUGAAGCUAGUGGCUGACAGGAGGACACAGGCAGCCGGGGACGCCCAGACGCCUGGCCGGACGCAGGCAGGAGGCACAGAACCCAGCCAGCCCCAGACACCCGGACACACAGAUCCUCACCGGGCAGAUGGCAGACGCUCGAGAGACCCCUGGGGGCCGGGCCGACCUACCCAGGCAACACCCCCAGCAGGCACCGGUGGCCGAGGGAGGCUGCGGGAGGCUGCGGGCGAGGGUGGCGGCGGCGGCCGCGGCUUGGAGGAGCUGGAGCGGGAGGGACUCACACACUCGCUGUGUUCUCGCACACACACACUCACUCGGGAUGCGAUUAACAUUCAGUCCCCGUCUGCCACUGCCGGGAGACCCACAGCCCCCCCUCCUGGCCUCCCUGGGGACCCCUUCUCCUGCCAGGCUUGGGGAGGGGGCCGCCCCCCACCCCUAGCUACCAGCCUCUGCCUUCCUCCUGGGACAAGGGAGUGAGGGGCUGAAAAUAAAAAGGGAGGAAGAAGUCAGGCUGGGGACAGGCAGGCAGGGACUCAGAACCCGGUAUGGAGACACCAGCUUCAGAGCUAGACUCCAGGGCUGGGGGUUGCUGCCCUCUGCCCCCGCCCUGCCUUGAGGCUCUGGAAACAGGAGGCCUUUCCCUGACUUCAGUGUUCGCCACACUAAGACCCAAGCUGUGGCUUUUAUUGCCCCAGAAGGCCAGGCCUGAAAACCAGGUCUCGACCCUGGUCCCAGGAGUCCCACCCCCCAGCCCCUCCUCCCUCAGACCCAGGAGUCCCCUUCUCUACUGGGACCCAGGAAUUUGGGGACCGCCUCCAAGUCGGAGUCUCUUUUAAGGACUCAGUCAUCCCGACUCUCCCCCGUACAAGCCACCCUCAGGGACCCAAGACUCGUGGAUGUCACCCUUGGGCACCCCGUCCUUCCAGCCCUCUGAAGAAAUCAACACGCCUGCACCCCUUCUUUUAUUGAGGGACCCUGGCCUCCAUCAUCUGUGGGUACCCCAUCAUCCGGAAGGGAAGCCACGUCUGUCCCCUCAUAGAUGCAGGAGUCCAGACCACAGGCUGUUCCCCGGGGGUCCCACACCCAGAUGCCCAGCAUUCCCCUCCUGCUAGAGGGCUGGGCCCGGCACUUUUAUAAAGCCACCCGUGGGGCUCUGGGGUAGAGCGUGGGGCAGGACACCGGGGCCUCUGAGGGUGGAAGAGGGUGUGUGUGUGUGGGCAGGGCAGAAACUCUGGAGCAGGGGGGAAGCCAGGGCCAGGGGCUCCUGAGGUAGUUUGGGUCAGAGUUUUGGCCUUGAGCCUCCUGGGUGAGGCUCCUGUUUCCUUCAUCCUCAAGGUCUGGGAGAACAGGGUGAGGUGCACAUUCCUGAAAAAGAAGAGAAUCAGGGCCUAAAUCUGUGGGUCGUAAAGGGAGAAACUGUAGAUCUAGAUUCUUAAGGUUAGGAUGUUUGAUCCAUAAGAUGGUGGGGGUGGGACCCUAAGUUCCAAGGAACAGCGUCCUAGGAGGGAAAAGGGCUGGGGCCCUGAACUCCUGGGUCUGAGGGAGGAGGGGCUGGGGCCCUGGACCCCUGGGUCUGAGGGAGGAGGGGCUGGGGCCCUGGACCCCUGGGUCUGAG